GGGAGUGGGCUGGUCUGGUCCCCAGUGCCAGCACGUCCUGGAGAUUCCCAUUGCAAGUCUCAGUAGGGAAAGGGUCGGUACCUUAUACAAGACAAGUUUUUCACUGUAGCUCGGUACAAGUGACAAUAAUAAACCAAUACAAGGGGAGUGAAAAACAGAGUUAUGUUGUAGAGCGAUGCCCUCUCAUCAUAAGAGUUUAUAGACCUGACCCGCUUACUUUUCGCUCCUGAGGCACUGCCUGCCCCGCUGAGCAUUUUCAGCUCUUACUGUUGGAAAUUGCUACUGGGAGGAUAGCCCCAAGAUGGAGAGCAUUCUGAGUGGUUGCAUCACAGUCUGGUAAUGGAGGCUCCAAUGCACAGAAUCACAAGAGGCUGCAGUGUUGUAGACUCAGCCAGCUCCAUCACAGAACCAGCUGUUGGGACUUCCUACUAAGUUGUACUGGUAACAUCGUAACAGCGUGAUUCUGGAUCAGUUCCAAUGGAAACAAUGGAAUCUCAGUGCUGAACGUCCAAGAAUUAAUUUGGAGUAACCCAAUUCUAGGAAAGCACAGCACAUGAAACAAACUAUAUAUAACUAGUUUACUCCUUUCUGUGACUUCACUUGCCUUUCAAAUAAAUACAUUUUGCAUAAAAUUAAACAUAUUUGAUCUUCCUUGAAGCUCAAUUGCAGGAUAAAAUGGUAAACACAGCACAGAUUAUUAAUACGGUACACUAUAUUGAACAUUAAAAACCUGUAAAUCUCCAUGCCCCACAAGGCUGCGUCCUCAACCCCUUACUCUACUCCCCAUACACCCAUGACUAAGUGGCCAGAUUCUGCUCUAACUCCAUCUACAAGUUUGCAGAUCGUACCACUGUAGUGGGCCGCAUCUCAAGUCACGAUGAGAUGGAGUAUGGGAAGGAGAUAAGAGAGCUUAGUGACAUGGUGUCAUGACAACAACCUUUCCCUCAAUGUCAGCAAAACAACAGCUGCUUAUUGAUUUCAGGAAGGGGGCAGCGGUGCACAUCCUCCUGUCUACAUCUAUGGUGCUGAGGUCGAGAGGGUUGAGAGCUUCAAGUUCCUAGAAGUGAAUAUCACUAAUAGCCUGUCCUGGUCCAACCACAUAGAUGCCAUGGCCAAGAAACCUCACCAGCGCCUCUACUUCCUCAGGAGGCUAAAGAAAUUUGGCAUGCCCCCUUUGACACCAAAUUUUUAUUGAUGCACCAUAGAAACCAUCCUAUCUGGGUGCACCAUGGCUUGGUAUGGCAUCUGCUCUGCCUGUGACCGCAAGAAACUGCAGAGUUGUGGACACAGCACAUCAUGGAAACCAGCCUCCCCCCACCCCCCCAUCGACUUUGUCUAUACUUCUCGCUGUCUCGGUAAAGCAGCCAGCAUAAUCUAAGGCCCCACACACCCUGGACAUUCUCUCUUCUCCCCUCUCCCAUCGGGCAGAAGAUACAAAAAGCCUGAAAGCACCUAUCACCAGGCUCAAGGACAACUUCUAUCCCAUUGUUGUAAGACUAUUGAAUGGUUCCCUAUUACGAUAAGAUGGAGUCUUGACCUCACAAUCAACUUUGUUAUGACCUUGCACCUUAUUGUCUGCCUGCACUGCAUUUUCUCUGUAGCUGUUACACUUUAUUCUGCAUUCUGUAUUGUCUUACCUUGUACUACUUCAAUGCAUUGUGUAAUGAAUUGAUCUGCAUGAACAGUAUGCAAGACAAGUUUUUCACUUCGGUACAUGUGACAAUAAUAAACCAAUUCCAAUAUCCAUCAAAUAGAGCAUGGGAGCGACAGAGUGCUCAAUCCAUGUUAGGAGUUGAUGGAAUUUUCAUACUCCAACAAACCCGUACAGAUGGUUUACACAGAAGGAUAACAAGGAUUCCUACAACGUGAAAUGAGCUCAGAAAAUAUUAAUAAUGCUCUCAAAGUGUCUGUGAAUAAAGGU